UGUUUGGAUACCAUUUAUUUCUUUUCUUACCUCAUUACUCAGGCUGGGACUUACAGUUCUGUGUUCUGUAUGAGUAGUGAAGGCACGCAUCAUUGUCUUGUUUCUAAUCUUAGAAGAAAAGCUUUCAACAUUUUGUCAUUGAAUGUUAGCCAUGGGUUUCUCAUAUAUGGCCUCUAUUAUGUUGAGGUACAUUCCUUCUACAUCUAUGUUGUUGAGUAUGUUUACUAUAAAAAUAUGUCAUAUUUUGUUAACUGCCUUUCUGCAUCUAUUGAGAUAAUUGUAUGAUUUUUAUCUUUCAUUCUACUGUGUGGUGUAUCAUAUAUGCUGAUCUGUGUACUUGUCUCUUCCUGUAUCCCUGCUAUAUAUUCCUUUUGAUCAUGGUGUGUGAACCUUUUAAUGUGCUUUUGAAUUUGGUUUGCUGAUACUUUGCUGAGAAAUUUUGCAUCUAUAUUCACCGGGGAUAUAGGUCUAUAGAUUUCAUUUAUUCUUUUUUUCUUUGUAGUAUUUAUCAGUGUUUAGUGUCAGGAUAAUGAUAAUCUUGUAAAAUGAGUUUGGAAUGUCCUUCCUAAUUUUUUGAAGGAUUUAAGAAGAAUUGGUGCUGAUUUUUUUUGGUAAAUGUUUGAGAGUGGAGGGGUAGCUAAACAUAAAUUAGACAAAAUAGAUCUUAAAACAAAAGUGGUAACAAGAGAAAAAAAUACAUCAUUAUAUGAAGGGGUCAAUUAAUCAAGAAGAUAUAACUGGUAAAUAUUUAGAACUCAAGAUUCAAUCACAUAAACUUAUUAAGCAAAUGCUAACAGAUAUGAAGGGGGAAACAGACAACAAUAUAAUAAUCAUAGCGACUUCAAUAUUCUAAUAUUAACAGUGGAUAAAUCAUUCUGACAAAAUCAAUAGGAAAAUAUUGGAUUUGAGUCAGACUUUAGACUAAAAAAUUUAAUAAAGAUAUAUAGAUCAUUUCAUCCAACAACAGCAGGAUACACAUUCUUGCCAAGCACAUUAUCUGGGAUAGAUCACAAGAUAAUUUACAAAACAAGUCUUAGCAAAUGUUUUUUAAAGAUUUAUUUAUUUAUUCAUUAGAGAGAGAGAGAGGCAGAGACACAGGCAGAGAGAGAAGCAGGCUCCUCGCAGGGGGCCUAAUGUGGAGCUUGAUCCCCCGACCCGGGGUCACACCCUGAGCAGAAGGCAGAUGCUCAACCACUGAGCCACUCAGGCGUCUCAAGUCUUUUUUUUUAUAUAUAUAUAUUUUAUUUAUUUAUUCAUGAGAGACAGAGAGAGAGAGAGAGAGAGAGAGAGAGAGAGGCAGAGACACGGAGAAGCAGGCUCCAUGCAGGGAGCCUGAUGUGGGACUCGAUCCUGGGUCUCCAGGAUCAGGCCCUGAACUGAAGGAGGCGCUAAACCCCUGAGCCACCUCGGCUUCACCAGGCGUCCCAAGUCUUAGCAAAUUUAAGAAGAUUGAACUCAUCUUUUUGUGAUCACAGUGAUACAAGAUGAAGAAGCAUAACAAAACAAAAGCUGAAAAACUUCAAAAUACAUAAAAAUUAAAUAAAAUCCUCCACCCCAAAACCAAUGGAUCAAAGAACAUCAGAGAGAAAUCAAAAUAUCUUUAAAAAUUGUGUAUACAACACCAAUUACUAAAAUUUAUGGGAUACUGCAAUCUCAGGGGAAAGUAUACCACAAUAAAACCCAAAUUAG
rnacentral:lncRNA from 1 species